rnacentral:lncRNA from 1 species
UCAGAAUAGGAAUAAGCUCAUAAUUAAAGUUUCGAAUAGAAGUUUGUAAACGCAUAUACAACUGCAAUAAAGCCACCUACAUAUUUAGCUUCUAAAUGGACGCAUCACGACAGCCAACAGCCAAACAAAACUUAUCAAAAGGAGAAAUGGAACAUAAGGAAAACAGAUGAGAUAGCAUGCUGUAAUCUGGAUCAACAUUUCUUCAACUCAUCGAUCGCAUCACAGAAGACUCGUGUAAGAACGUUCUUAGUCGUGAGAGAAGUC